rnacentral:rRNA from 1 species
UCGCCGCGGUACCGAAGCCACGCGUUAAGUAUGCCGCUGGGAGUACGUACGCAAGUAUGAACUUAAGGAAUGACGGGACCCGCACAAGCAGUGGAGCAUGUGUUUAUUCGACGCACGCGAAGAACCUUACCAGGGCUUGACAUAUUGAUUACUACCCUCUAAGAGAUUAGAGGAGACUAUAAUACAGGUGGUGCAUGGUUGUCGUCAGCUCGUGUCGUGAGAUGUUGGGUUAAGUCCCGCAACGAGCGCAACCCCUUUCCUUAGUUGCCAUCAUUCAGUUGGGAACUCUAAGGAUACUGCCGAUGUAAGUCGGAGGAAGGUGGGGAUGACGUCAAAUCAUCAUGCCCUUUAUGUCCUGGGCGACACACGUGCUACAAUGGCCGGUACAAAGAGACGCGAAUCCGCGAGGAGGAGCAAAUCCCAUAAAGCCGGUCUCAGUUCGGAUUGGAGUCUGCAACUCGACUCCAUGAAGCUGGAAUUGCUAGUAAUCGCGAAUCAGCCAUGUCGCGGUGAAUACGUUCCCGGGUCUUGUACACACCGCCCGUCAAACCAUGAGAGCUGGUAAUACUCGAAGUCGUUAUCCUAACCGCAAGGAGGGAGACGCCUAAGGUAGGACUGGUGAUUGGGGUU